rnacentral:rRNA from 1 species
UACGUAGGGACCGAGCGUUGUCCGGAAUCAUUGGGCGUAAAGAGCGUGUAGGCGGCCAGGUAGGUCCGUUGUGAAAACUCGAGGCUCAACCUCGAGACGUCGAUGGAAACCAUCUGGCUAGAGUCCGGAAGAGGAGAGUGGAAUUCCUGGUGUAGCGGUGAAAUGCGCAGAUAUCAGGAAGAACACCUAUGGCGAAGGCAGCUCUCUGGGACGGUACUGACGCUGAGACGCGAAAGCGUGGGGAGCGAACAGG